UACGUAGGGGGCAAGCGUUGUCCGGAUUUAUUGGGCGUAAAGAGCGUGUAGGCGGCCAGACAGGUCCGUUGUGAAAACUCGAGGCUCAACCUCGAGACGCCGAUGGAAACCGUCUGGCUAGAGUCCGGAAGAGGAGAGUGGAAUUCCGUGGUGUAGCGGUGAAAUGCGCAGAUAUCAGGAAGAACACCCGUGGCUAAGGCGGCUCUCUAGUACGGUACUGACGCUGAGACGCGAAAGCGUGGGGAGCGAACAGG
rnacentral:rRNA from 1 species